rnacentral:rRNA from 1 species
AAAACGGAGAGUUUGAUCCUGGCUCAGGAUGAACGCUGGCGGUAUGCUUAACACAUGCAAGUCGAACGGGAUGCUUAGGCAUCUAGUGGCGGACGGGUGAGUAACGCGUGAGAAUCUGGCUCCAGGUCGGGGAUAACAGUUGGAAACGACUGCUAAUACCGGAUGUGCCGAGAGGUGAAAGAUUUAUUGCCUGGAGAUGAGCUCGCGUCUGAUUAGCUAGUUGGUGGUGUAAGGGACCACCAAGGCGUCGAUCAGUAGCUGGUCUGAGAGGAUGAUCAGCCACACUGGGACUGAGACACGGCCCAGACUCCUACGGGAGGCAGCAGUGGGGAAUUUUCCGCAAUGGGCGAAAGCCUGACGGAGCAAUACCGCGUGAGGGAGGAAGGCUCUUGGGUCGUAAACCUCUUUUCUCAAGGAAGAAGAAAGUGACGGUACUUGAGGAAUAAGCAUCGGCUAACUCCGUGCCAGCAGCCGCGGUAAUACGGAGGAUGCAAGCGUUAUCCGGAAUGAUUGGGCGUAAAGGGUCUGCAGGUGGAACUGAAAGUCUGCUGUUAAAGAGUUUGGCUUAACCAAAUAAAAGCGGUGGAAACUACAGAACUAGAGUGCGGUAGGGGCAAAAGGAAUUCCUGGUGUAGCGGUGAAAUGCGUAGAUAUCAGGAAGAACACCGGUGGCGAAAGCGUUUUGCUAGACCGUAACUGACACUGAGGGACGAAAGCUAGGGGAGCGAAUGGGAUUAGAUACCCCAGUAGUCCUAGCCGUAAACGAUGGAUACUAGGCGUGGCUUGUAUCGACCCGAGCCGUGCCGGAGCUAACGCGUUAAGUAUCCCGCCUGGGGAGUACGCACGCAAGUGUGAAACUCAAAGGAAUUGACGGGGGCCCGCACAAGCGGUGGAGUAUGUGGUUUAAUUCGAUGCAACGCGAAGAACCUUACCAAGACUUGACAUCCUGCGAAUNCCGGUGAAAGCUGGGAGUGCCUUAGGGAGCGCAGAGACAGGUGGUGCAUGGCUGUCGUCAGCUCGUGUCGUGAGAUGUUGGGUUAAGUCCCGCAACGAGCGCAACCCUCGUUUUUAGUUGCCAGCAUUAAGUUGGGCACUCUAGAGAGACUGCCGGUGACAAACCGGAGGAAGGUGAGGAUGACGUCAAGUCAGCAUGCCCCUUACGUCUUGGGCUACACACGUACUACAAUGCUACGGACAGAGGGCAGCAAGCCAGGGAUGGCAAGCGAAUCCAGAAACCGUAGCUCAGUUCAGAUCGAAGGCUGCAACUCGCCUUCGUGAAGGAGGAAUCGCUAGUAAUUGCAGGUCAGCAUACUGCAGUGAAUUCGUUCCCGGGCCUUGUACACACCGCCCGUCACACCAUGGAAGUUGGUCACGCCCGAAGUCAUUACCCCAACCGAAAGGAGGGGGAUGCCUAAGGUAGGACUGGUGACUGGGGUGAAGUCGUAACAAGGUAGCCGUACCGGAAGGUGUGGCUGGAUCACCUCCUUUU